rnacentral:rRNA from 1 species
AUUGAACGCUGGCGGCAUGCUUUACACAUGCAAGUCGAACGGUAACAGGUCUUCGGAUGCUGACGAGUGGCGAACGGGUGAGUAAUACAUCGGAACGUGCCUAGUAGUGGGGGAUAACUACUCGAAAGAGUGGCUAAUACCGCAUGAGAUCUACGGAUGAAAGCAGGGGAUCGCAAGACCUUGUGCUACUAGAGCGGCCGAUGGCAGAUUAGGUAGUUGGUGGGAUAAAAGCUUACCAAGCCGACGAUCUGUAGCUGGUCUGAGAGGACGAUCAGCCACACUGGGACUGAGACACGGCCCAGACUCCUACGGGAGGCAGCAGUGGGGAAUUUUGGACAAUGGGCGCAAGCCUGAUCCAGCAAUGCCGCGUGCAGGAUGAAGGCCUUCGGGUUGUAAACUGCUUUUGUACGGAACGAAAAGCCCUGGGUUAAUACCCUGGGGUCAUGACGGUACCGUAAGAAUAAGCACCGGCUAACUACGUGCCAGCAGCCGCAGUAACAC